GUCUGAUCUCCGCCCGGCCCCUUUCAUUGGUGCCGUGACUCGGAUUGGGACUCCCCACCUUUGGUGGGACCCCAAUCCCUCUCAGGCUCAGACCAGGCCCCGGUCAGUCUUCGCCCAUUUUCCUGUACGCCGAGCUCUUCGCCCACCAUCGGCCUCAUCUCGCUUCUCCUUAGACAGUAUCAACUCCUAGCAACCAGCGAAGAAGCGGCUGACUCCAGAGACAGACUCUGAGCGCCAUGUCUCGGUUCCACCAGUUCCUAGACGAUCCCCGCAAAGACUGCUGGCUCACCACAGACCCCUCCCUGCCCCUUGGCUGGCUACAAGGAACAUUCAUGGACUUCACAACUGAGGAGGUGUUCACAUACAGAGCCCUACUGCUUGGCCUUAUACUCCUGCUGUGCCCCGUACACAACCCCCACAGUCCUCCCCUACCCCUCCCCCACGACGCCCCCGCUCAGCAGGAAGUAGCCAGACGAACUACAACGCCCAUUUCCCCACUUCUUAAGAAACAAAAAAGGGAGGAAUGUGAGGUAACAGGGGUACCUUAAUGGCGCCGGUUCCGGGUUCUUCUCCCCUCCUUGACCGGGCACUGUCUGAACCCGCCAAAGGAGGGCCAAUCAGGAAGAAGCAUCUCCCGCCUUCCCUUGGGCCCGCCCCACGUAGGCCCAAGGGAUAUAAAACCCAGCACACCAGCAGCUCUCUCUCUUCUCCUCUCCUCUCUCUCUUCUCUUCUCUUCCUUCUCCGCUCGAUACCUCCAAUAAAGAUCUCUUGAC